rnacentral:rRNA from 1 species
CCUACGGGGGGCUGCAGUGGGGGAUAUUGCACAAUGGGGGGAACCCUGAUGCAGCGACGCCGCGUGGGUGAAGGAGCGUUUCGGCGCGUAAAGCCCUAUCAGCAGGGAAGAAGAUGACGGUUACUGAAGUAAAAGCCCCGGCCAACGACGGGCCAGCAGCCGCGGGUAUACGUAGGGGGGAAGCGUUAGCCGGAUUUACUGGGUGUAAAGGGGGCGCCGGCGGCGAUGCAAGCCAGGAGUGAAAGCCCGGGGCCCAACCCCGGGACUGCUCUUGGAACUGCGCGGGGGGAGUGCAGGAGGGGCAGGCGGAAUUCCUGGUGUAGCGGUGAAAUGCGUAGAUAUCAGGAGGAACACCGGUGGCGAAGGCGGCCUGCUGGACUGCGACUGACGUUGAGGCCCGAAAGCGUGGGGAGCAAACAGGAUUAGAUACCCGGGUAGUC